ensembl:ncRNA B0403.9 ncRNA
UACUAAACACACAACUAGUUGCGGCCAGCUCAAUUGACUGACCGACAGUGCACACAGAAAAUAGUUCGAGUGGGGAGAGGGUGGAAAUGAGACAAAUCAGUUUUUGUUUGCCGUACCGGCUUGUGACUAUUGUCCUUUUUC